rnacentral:rRNA from 1 species
UACGUAGGGGGCAAGCGUUAUCCGGAAUUACUGGGUGUAAAGGGAGCGUAGACGGUAAUGUAAGUCUGGAGUGAAAGGCGGGGGCCCAACCCCCGGACUGCUCUGGAAACUAUGUUACUAGAGUGCAGGAGAGGUAAGCGGAAUUCCUAGUGUAGCGGUGAAAUGCGUAGAUAUUAGGAGGAACACCAGUGGCGAAGGCGGCUUACUGGACCGUAACUGACGUUGAGGCUCGAAAGCGUGGGGAGCAAACAGG